GGGAGAGCGGGCGCGGCCCCGGGGCGGCGUGGAGAAGGGCGGGGCGAGAGCGCCGGACGCCUGCCCCCCGGGACGGGCACUGGACGAAGCGGGAGGAGAAAGGCAAGACUAGCCGCUCGGGUGAGGACGAGAGGAUAGAGGGCGAGACGCUUGUUCUUCUGGAUCGAUAUUAUUCUUCCAUAAAUUGAUCCAGACUAGCCAUAGGAACCAGUCAAGAUAUUUUGCCACAGGAUCUAGGACAAGAGGAUUUACCUACUAUUUAUUGCCCACCUUGCAAAUCUCCUAGGGACCUUUCACCUGCUUCUGCUACUGCAAGUGAUUGGACAUCCAUUUACAUUUCCUCUUCUUCGUGUGUGGAAGGAAACUUGUUCACUGUGCUUCAGGCUGCCCCUGGCCUGAAAGCGGGUCCUUGAAUUCCCCUUGGACCAUUCCAACUUGCCAAGGUGGUUAUGAGACCUGAGGGAGGUGUUUAGGCGUGGACUUUGGGCCAGGUGUGUAAAUCCAUUUGGUACCAACUUUGGGCCCCAAGGAUAAGGGCAUGUGUAGCUGCACCAGAAGAGAGGGGAACAGUGAAAACUAAAAUUUCACCCUCUGUGAUGAUCUUCACCACCACCAGUACCAACAAUGCUUUUCUGAAAGAAGGACCGAAGUAACACCAAGAACUCCCAGAGGAAGAGGACCUUCCUGGAUCUGUAACUGGGAUUAGCCAGUUCUUUACUGGGAGAGAAAGUUUCAACUAAUCCUCAGGAUAAAAGCAAACAGGCCUGUGACUGUCCCUUGAACACUGACAGUGUAAACAAGCUUCUGGCUCCUCCAGGUCAAGCAGAGGAACACUUUUCAUUAGAAUGUUGGGUUUCUUCUUUGUUAUUCAAACAUACACCCACACACAUCCCCUUGUCCCUCCCUAAUGAACAAACCUCAACAGAUGGACAGCCUAGACUCCCAAGACUUAGGGCUGAGAAGAUGCACUUCACUCAAGGGUGGGUUGGCUUGUACAGAAUGGGGGAGAGAGAAGAAAUGGGAAGCUAGUAUAGGUAAUUACUGUCUUUUAAUACUCCUUACAGAUAGAAAUCCAAAAAAUCCUGUUCCGCAAGGUUAGCAGCCUCUGGGGCCUGGGAAACCGAUUUGGCUGAUGUGUCUGUGAUAGGGACUAGGCUUGGGGCUGCACCAGGGGGAAAGUACUCACUCUAUAUUCUAUCAUUCUCUCUCAUUUGAAAGCCUGUACAAAGAAAUGGUACAAAUGGAUGGUUAACUUAAUGAUUCCAUCAGAGGCGGAUUUUUCUCUGUCAGGACCCAGGAUGAGGCUGAGGUCUGAAAGCCAGGAGGCAGAACAUAUACUUAAUCGCCCUUUCUUACUGCCUUUCCAGGGGCCGGGACUGCUCUUCAGACCUUUCCUCUGCCACGUCCCCGUACCCCUGGCUAGCUCAGUUGGGUCUUCUUACCCCACUCCUGGCUGGGCCUGAGUUUCUCCUGGUAGCCACGGCAAGGUCUCCUUAUGGCUAAAUCUUUUCCCACUCCCACCUCCCAUUCUACUGUGGGCCAUUUUUGCAGCCUCCUCUCUACCCAGCUUUAAUUAACAUUUGAUUGCCUGGACAGAACAACCAGGGGCUCCCAAACCGCUGCCACCCCCAUCCAUGGACCCUUUCUUCAGGCCUCAGGAUGAUCCCCCACAACCUCACUGAUCCCUCCCCUCCCCCAGCGCUCCCCGCCGCCUCUAUAGG